rnacentral:rRNA from 1 species
CUGACGCUGAGGUGCGAAAGCAUGGGGAGCAAACAGGAUUAGAUACCCUGGUAGUCCAUGCCGUAAACGAUGUCUACUAGCCGUUGGGGCCUUUGAGGCUUUAGUGGCGCAGCUAACGCGAUAAGUAGACCGCCUGGGGAGUACGGUCGCAAGACUAAAACUCAAAUGAAUUGACGGGGGCCCGCACAAGCGGUGGAGCAUGUGGUUUAAUUCGAUGCAACGCGAAGAACCUUACCUGGCCUUGACAUACUAGAAACUUUCCAGAGAUGGAUUGGUGCCUUCGGGAAUCUAGAUACAGGUGCUGCAUGGCUGUCGUCAGCUCGUGUCGUGAGAUGUUGGGUUAAGUCCCGCAACGAGCGCAACCCUUUUCCUUACUUGCCAGCAUUUCGGAUGGGAACUUUAAGGAUACUGCCAGUGACAAACUGGAGGAAGGCGGGGACGACGUCAAGUCAUCAUGGCCCUUACGGCCAGGGCUACACACGUGCUACAAUGGUCGGUACAAAGGGUUGCUACACAGCGAUGUGAUGCUAAUCUCAAAAAGCCGAUCGUAGUCCGGAUUGGAGUCUGCAACUCGACUCCAUGAAGUCGGAAUCGCUAGUGAUCGCGGAUCAGAAUGCCGCGGUGAAUACGUUCCCGGGCCUUGUACACACCGCCCGUCACACCAUGGGAGUUUGUUGCACCAGAAGUAGCUAGCCUAACUGCAAAGAGGGCGGUUACCACGGUGUGGCCGAUGACUGGGGUG